UGGGGAAUAUUGCACAAUGGGGGAAACCCUGAUGCAGCAACGCCGCGUGAGUGAUGAAGGUUUUCGGAUCGUAAAGCUCUGUCUUUGGGGAAGAUAAUGACGGUACCCAAGGAGGAAGCCACGGCUAACUACGUGCCUAG
rnacentral:rRNA from 1 species